AGAGGAGGCGCGGGAGACCGGCGGAGUCACUCUGCUCUCCUCGCUCCCGAAGUGAGCCUUCUACCAAUCCGAGGGCCGCCUGGGGGUGAUGGACGCAAAUGUGUGACCAAUGAGGAGGAGAAGGUGUCCGCCGCGAGCCAGAGGGGAAGGAGUGGGCGGGUCAUUGCUCUCCUCUCCCUCCCGCGCCGGGGUCCUCCCUCCCGCCUGGUUCGGGUCAGUCACGCAAAUGACAGUGUGAGGGCUGGGGCAGUGCCGGGGUGGGGAGGGGCCGCGCUGCUGGCGGCGUGACAGCAAUAGCGACUGGCUGUGCUUCCGACUCCGCGCCGGCAGGAGGAGGUGACGGCGGAGGUUGGCUCCUUACUGAGCGUGCAGGCUGCCGCUGCUGCUUCUGCUGUACCCCUCCUGCUCAGUCUCUGCCUCGAGCUGCCCGGGAGCCCCUACCGCCAAACCCCACCCCUGAGAGGCAGACAGAUUUGGAGUGAAUCAGGUCAAAACUUUGCCCCACGUCUGUGCAGUGCCCACUCUUGAAGACAGCUCCGUGUGAUGUUCUGGGAGCUGAGGGAGCUGGACGCCAGAGACUUGGCAAUGGUCUGUGUGUGAACUGAGACUACUGAUCUCGUCUGGUCUAGUCAAGACUUGGUUGAACUUGGCUGAAUUCAGCUGGGCUCCACUCUAGGACACAGAGCUCUGAGGUCUCAAGUGACUUCCGAUGAAUACAGGCCAUGAUGAACGCCACACCGACCUUUGUUUCAGGACAAGUGGAAGAUAUAAAAUGAAACUACAAAAGCUAGAAGAUGGCCUUCUGACUCCACAAAGGGACCUUAUUAAAGCUGUCUUCAAGGUCUUUAAUACUAGAGAGGAAGAAGAAAAGCCCCCCAAACUAAAACGAUCGAUGACAAAAUACCAGCUUCUUGCUGCUGCCCUUCAAGGAAAUCCUCAAAAAAUAAACUGAGGACCCUCACGAGGCUUAUUAAACACAAAGAGUAAAAUAAUCUCUCCACCAGGGGCCUGUUUCAAAUGUGGUUUUGAGGGACAUUGGGCACAGGAAUGACCCAAUCCGAGGCCUCCACAAGGCUCUUGCCCUAAAUGCGGCCAAACCAGACACUAGAAGGUGGACUGUGGGAAGCCUGGGCAGCCCAUUGUCUCCCCCACGAAACCCCCAGCCACGGAGACGAUCAACAUGCACAACUUAUUGGCCCUGGCCACAGAAGACUGAUGGGGCCUGAGGCCACCGGGCCCCCACCCUCUUACCACCACUCUGUUCCUCAGGUCUCUGUGGCAGUAGCAGGUAAGACUAUUUCAUUCUUACUAGACAUGGGGGCAUCAUACUCGGUACUACCUAGUUUUCAGGGUAUUACCUACACCUCCCCCACCUCUAUAGGGGGGUAGAUGGAUUACCCACUGCACGUCAACAGACUGCACUUGUCAUCUGCAUACUCUUUGACACCACUUUUUGCCAUUCAUUCCUAGUUUCUCUGCGCUAACAGUACAUAUGCACGUCUACCAACUAACUGGACUGAAUCUUGUAAUUUAGCCUUUCUUGCCCCAGCCAUCCAAUAUUCUCUAGAAGCAGAUGCCAUCCCAAUUCCCAUCUCAAUUUUUAUUAAGGCCAAAAAGAGCAAUACAUUUACUACCCCUAUUGGCCAGGAUAGGAAUCACAACUGCAGUUGAACAGGUACAGCGGGUCUGGGAGUAGCCACUCACCGCUACUCACUGUUAUCACAACAAAUAUCUAAGGCCCUCAAGGAAAUAACUGAUGAUUGGCCUAUUUACAAGAUCAAAUUGACUCCCUGGCCACAGUAGUACUACAAAAUAGACAAGGAUUAGACCUUCUCACAGCAGGAAAAGGGGGAGUUUGUGUCGCCCUGCAGGAGAGUUGUUGCUUUUAUAAAAACAAAUCAGGGAGUUCCUGCUGUGGCACAGGGGAAAUGAAUCCAACUCGUAUCCAUGAGGAUGCAGGUUCAAUCCCUGGCCUCGCUCAGUGGGUUGGGGAUCUGGCAUCGCUGUGAACUGUGGAUAGGUCGGAGAUGCGGCUCAGAACCUGAGUUGCUGUUGUUGUUGCUGUGGCCUGCAACUAUAGCUCCGAUUGGACCCCUAGCCUGGGAACUUCCAUAUGCCUCAGAUGUGGCCCCAAAAAAGCAAAAAACAAAAACGAAUCAGGACUGGUCAGAGAAGGCAUAAAACGCCUAAGAGAACAAGCAACCUGGUUCCAACAACAGGGGGCCCAGGGCUUCUGGCCUUCUGCCCCCAUUCACACACCUCUCAUCUUUCUCUUCCUUCUCCUAAUGGCUGGGCUGCCCGUUUCGUAUGUUUUCUUCUUUUUUUCGGAGAACCACUGAAUCAGUCACAGACAAGCGAGUCAACUUGAUCCUGGCUUUACAGAACUACGGAUACCACCAGAUUCCCUUACCCCCCAACUGAUGCCUCUGAUCAGCAGGAAGAAGCUGCAGAAGAAGAGACCUUCACCCCUUUUCCUAUUAAAAACAGGGAAGAAUCUUAGGUGGAAACUCUGAGCAACAAAGCAGCCAUAAAAGUGUCAUCAUGAGUUAUAGAUCCGCUCCAGCCCGGACUUGUCGCCACCUCAGAACACUGUCGGACAGAUCCAUCUGGACGGUUGAGUUCCCUAAAACAAAGAUAGCCUUCCGGCCAGCUAAAGAUUAAAACUGUUGGGAGUUCCCGUUGUGGUACAGUGGAAAUGAAUUGACUAGUAACCGUGUGGAUGCCAUUUCCAUCCCUGGCCUCACUCAGUGGGUUAAGGAUCUGGCAUUGCCAUGAGCUAUGGUGUAGGUGGCAGACGUGGCUUGGAUCUGGCAUUGCUGUGCUCUGAUUCGACCCCUAGGCUGGGAACUUCCAUUUUCGGAUGGUGAGCCCCCCCCCCCCAAAUUAAACGUAUCACCUUGACCAGAUCCCCACCACCAUCCCAUAACUACGUGACUCAGUACUCAACCCCUGCCCUAUAAAACCUAGCUCUCCCUGAUCAGCGGGGAGCCUGAGUUCUCCAUUCUCAGGGCUCCUGGCCACUCCUCUGGUCAACAAAACCUGCUUGAGACUUCACUGUUCCAAUUGACCAUCUUUUCUUCUCUCCUGCGGGCUAACAGAAAAUCUCCGCACUCUCAAUUUUGUUGCUCUAAAGUCUUUUAAAAAGGCAUAUAAAAAUGCUUAUAUUCACAUAUGUCUUUUUUCUUAAAUGUAAAGGACAGUAUUUCUUUGGUCGACUCCGGAGUUUGGAAAGUGAAACUGAAUAGAAACCAAGAUGAAAGAUAAUGAUCAUGCUUCCUCUUUAGUGUUGACUGCAGCACAAACAACCAAAUUAUGAGAAAUAAAUUACAGUUUUAAAAAAUCCCCUGUUUUAAUUACUGCAAAUGUUACUAUGACUAGGUAAGAAUUAUUUUUAAUCACCUAUAAUUACAUGGAUGGUGUACAUCUAAAAGCGUAAAGUGUGUAUCUAAAAGCCCCAAUUUAAAACAAAAACAAAAACAAAAACCUAAGACAAACUUGGCUUUUGUUUGAAAUGUGCAAUAUUUUCCCUCUACAUGCUUCCUCUCUGAAUAAAUUUUAUGGUUAGAAUUGCUGUUUUUUAGCAAAUGUAGAAAGCCAGCUAGAAACAUCUUUUCCGUUAAUUCAUUGGGUUUUCCUCCUAACCAGUUUGAGCAAAUUCUUGGCGAAUAUUUCAUGAACUCACAAGAGAAGAAUUUGACAUGUUUAAGAGACAUGUAAAAUAAAGUCGUGUAGGUUUUAAAGUUUCAGAAAAUUGGGAGAUUCCCUGUACUGAGAGAGCUCCCUAGACCUGCAAGUAAUAGUUGGAAUUAUGCAGGAAUGAGCAAAGUAGAAUUCUUGUCAUUGCGUAUUAGGAGCUAUUCCAUUCUAGGUAGGGUUUUUCGUUCCUUCCUUUACCACGGAGGAAAGGAGAGCUAGGGCUAGCUAGGUCUGCGGUCGGAGGAGUGUCUAUAAAUAGAAGGUGAAGUGUUCCAAUACCGGGAGGGUGCGUCAUAGCGUCCCUCCCCCGAGCUGCAAGCGCCUAGGCGGCCGCGGGAGCCACACCACUGCACCGGGACACUCGCCCGGCUUCCUGCUCCCGGGCAGAAGCUGGGGACCUGCGGGAAGGAGCCCAGGGAGGCGCCCAGCGGCACUCGCCUUCCCCCGCCCCCGCCUCCCCAACCUCAGGGGGCCUCAGGCCGACCCCGAGGCACAGGGUCCCAGGACCGAGGCGCCCCUGCACUAUUGGCAGCCGGGCCCCGCCACCGCCCUCCAGCCUGGUGAUUCCUCCACCCCAUCCCACCCGCCUCCCCUUGGGCGAAAGAAGAACAAUAACCCCGAGCGCGCCCGGGAAGCGGAGACUCCCCGGCGCACAGACAAUGCGAGGGGAGUUCCGAGGGGGCGGCCUCCGCGCGCCGCGCGCUCCCGCGGGUCCCCGGGCUGGGCGGGACCGCGGCGGUUGCCCGGCCCCCCAGGCACAGUCGGAGGCCACGUGGAGGAUAUUUAGAUUUGUUGAAAUCUAAAAAUCUCAAAAAGUGUCUGUUCAAGGCCAGGGAGAAUUUCCUCUAAUCUAGAUGGAACCUCAGCAGGCGGUUGAAAUACACAGGGACUGUGUGUGAUUUGGAGCCUUUUCUAUUUCGGAUCUGAAUCUCAAAAGUCACUUGUGGAAUUUCCAUAGGCCUAUCUUUUCGUAAACAGAUCGUUCUGGGAUUCCCCACCCAGUCUCUGGUCUUACCCUGCCUGUUCUUCCAGCCUGACCCGGUCUAGAUUUCAAUCUCCCUCUUGCCUACCUUUCUCUUUUUUCUUUUUUCUUUUCUUUUCUUUUCUUUUCUUUUCUUUUCUCCCUCCCUCUCUCUUCCACACACAUACAGUUUCGUUCCCUUUGCACCUUUUCUUGAGAGAGAGAGAGAGAGAGAGAGAGAGAGAGAGAGUGUGUGUGUGUGUGUGUGUGUGUGUGUGUGUACACGUGCGCGCGCAGAUCUUGCAGUUCCUUGAUUCUGAUUGGCGACUCCAUUGGCUUCCCCUGCCUUUUCUUCUGUGUUGGUUUUAUUUCAAUUCUGAGUCUUUCUUCCUUUGUUUUUCUUCCACGGUUUUGUUUUGGGUUUUUUUUUCACAUUUGCACGAUUUUUUUCUUUCCGUUUCCUUAAGUCCUGUCCCCUUUGGACUAAAGGGUUCCUGGAAAAAGAAAAACCAAGAGGAUUUCAUGGCAUUUUAUCUCAGGGAAAUGUGUUAUAGUUCCACUUUAAGAGAGUCUGGGCUAACCGGGAUUUUUAUACUUAUAUAUAGGUCAAGCCAUCUUAGCUGAAAAAAAGUCACAUACCUCUGUAACGUCUUGGGUGCUGGGCUUGCUUACAAUAAAAAGGUAUGCAGGGGAGUUCCCGUCGUGGCUCAGAAACCAUGAGGUUGCGCGUUUGUUCCCUGGCAUCGCUCAGUGGGUUAAGGAUCCUGU